rnacentral:rRNA from 1 species
CGCGUAGGCGGCCACUCAAGCGGGAUCUCUAAUCCGAGGGCUCAACCCCCGGCCGGAUCCCGAACUGGGAGGCUCGAGUUCGGUAGAGGCAGGCGGAAUUCCCGGUGUAGCGGUGGAAUGCGCAGAUAUCGGGAAGAACACCGAUGGCGAAGGCAGCCUGCUGGGCCGCAACUGACGCUGAGGCGCGAAAGCUAGGGGAGCGAACA